rnacentral:rRNA from 1 species
GGAAUUUUCCGCAAUGGGCGAAAGCCUGACGGAGCAAUCUCGCGUGAGGGAUGACGGCCUAUGGGUUGUAAACCUCUUUUUUCAGGGAGGAAUAACUGACGUGUACCUGAAGAAUAAGCAUCGGCUAACUCCGUGCCAGCAGCCGCGGUAAGACGGAGGAUGCAAGUGUUAUCCGGAAUCACUGGGCGUAAAGCGUCUGUAGGUGGCUUAAUAAGUCAACUGUUAAAUCUUGAAGCUCAACUUCAAAAUCGCAGUCGAAACUAUUAGACUAGAGUAUAGUAGGGGUAAAGGGAAUUUCCAGUGGAGCGGUGAAAUGCGUAGAGAUUGGAAAGAACACCGAUGGCGAAGGCACUUUACUGGGCUAUUACUAACACUCAGAGACGAAAGCUAGGGUAGCAAAUGGGAUUAGAUACCCCAGUAGUC